ensembl:lncRNA
ACUAAGAUGCCUUGGAUCGCAAGAAACUUCAGACAACCCUUCACAGGUGCUGAAGCCCACCUGAGAAUGACUGUAAGGAGGAAGAAAUUAGCACAUCCCUUCAGAGGCUAAUGGGAAACAGGAAGUGUUUGACUUUACUCUCUCCCCUUUUAGUGUAAAAGAAGCAUGAAUUUCAACUUGGGCAAGAUUAUUCUCUAGGGGCAUGAGUCCACAAUCUCCUUGGUUUGCUGAUUUUUCUAAUGAGUCACUGUUUCUUCCCCCACAGCUUUCCUCUCAAUUUAUUAGCCUGUAGUGCAGAGAGCAGUAAAAGCUUGGGCUCAUUAACAGUACUUCCAUAUUUCAGAUAUCUGCUUCCAAAAAGCAUAAAAGUUCUGAAGGUUUUGUCUUUAAGUGGAAGCCCUUUGAGAAACAUGAGGUGGUCUGCCAAAAUGAAAAAGCCAUUAUGGAAGUUAUGAUCAUUUAGGUGUCUGUCACCACUAACUAGGGCUUCCCAGGUGGCUCAGUGGUAAAGAAUCUGCCUGCCGAUGCAUGAGACAUGGGUUCUAUCCCUGGGUCAGAAAGAUCCCCUGGAGAAGGAAAUGGCAACUCACUCUCGGAAAUUCCAUGGACUAAGGAGCCUGUGGGCUACAGUCCAGGUGGUCUCAGUCAGGCACGGCUGAGUGACUGACCUUGCAUACACACCACUAAGCCCAGGCGUUUGUUUUACAUUUCAGAUCCCUGGAAAGGACAGGCUUGGAGUGGUGGUGAGGGUGUAGGUUGAAAGUUCAAAGGCUACUGAGGUUACAGUGAGUAGCAAAGCAGAGUACCUCCACUUCAAUUACAAAGUUCAAGAAGGCAAGAAACCCCCUGAAGACGGAAUUGAAACAGCAGAUGCCUCAGAGCUCUGACUGCUGACAAUGCUGAAAACAUGAAGAGACUCCGUUUUCUGUCUGGAUUGUUAUGGAGCAGACACUCUCGGUUUAUACCCUCCAGGGGAGAUGGAGAGAUGCUUUCUGUAAAUAAGAAUGAGUGACUUGAAGGUGAUCUGUUUAAAUAGUCAGCUUGGGUUGUCCUUACCUCUCAGGAAAACAAGCAGCCCCAUACAGCUGAAUGUCUUUUGGUGUUAUUAAGGAGAAUGACACCAGGGCUGUGAAGUUAGUCACUGACUUUACAUCUAUAUGUACCUGUUUUAUCUUGUUUUGCAAAUACUGUUUGGCUUCUUGUUUGUUGUUUGUUUUUUAAUAAAUCGAAGAUCUGUGGCAACCCUGCAUCAAGCCAGUAAUUUUUCUAGCAGCAUUUGCUUCCUUCCUGACUUUGUCACAUUUUGGUAAUUCUUGCACUAUUUCAAACCUUUUCAUUAUUUGUUAUGGUGAGCUGUGAUGUUACUAUUGUAACACCUAUCCACUGAUGUUACUACUAUAAUUGUUUGGGGGCACCACAAACUGUACCCAUGUCAGAUGACAAACUUAAUCAAUAAAUAUUUGUGUUCUGACUGCUCCACCAACAAGCCUUUCUCCAUCUCUCUCCCUUUACUAGGGCCUUCCUAUUCCCUGAGGCACAAUAAUACUGAGAUCAGGCCAAUUGUAACCCUUUAAUGGCAUCCAGGUGUUCAAGUGAAAGUCACACAUCUCUCACUUUAAGUCAAAAACUAAAAAUGAUUAAGUUUAAUGAUUAAGCUUAGUGAGGAAGGCAUGUCAAAUGCUGAGACAGGUCAAAAGCUGGGCCUCUUGCACCAAACAGUUAACCAAAUUGUAAAUGCAAAGGAAAAGUUCUUGAAGGGAAUUAAAAG